ACCUCAUCACCAUCACACAUACACAUUUUUGUUUUUGAAAAGAUACAGAAAGUAUGAUAAGAGAGAGACACAGAACACGCUUUAGAUGGAGAGAGAAAGACCUACAAAUAGAGAGAGUGCCGUCGUACCUCCUUCUUGUGCCGCCAUUGACUUCCAUCGGCCACCCUUCAGAACCACCUCCAACAACACGGCGCAGGACUCUUCUGGUCAUCCUCCACCUCCAAAAGAGACAUAGAUAGACUAGGAGAUUGAAACGGGAGAAAGAGAGAUUUGGAAGACGGGGAGAGAUCUGAACCUGGCGAGUCUCCGGUGACCGGCCCUGCGCGUCCUUGCCUCUCAUCCACAAAAUCCAAGUUGUAGAAAUCGUUGGUUUAGUCAGACGGUGGCUCUGGACAGUUCAACAAUUUUGGGUGGGUCCCUCCCAUUUCCGGCAAAGAUGGUAAUAACCGCAACCUUAUUUUUUUCCGGGUUUUCUUAUCAAAGACCCUUUGAUUUGGUGUGUUUUGGUGCCGAUCGGAAGCAAGUUCUGCCGAAAUAUUAAAAUUUUGACGAAGGUUUGGUUGACCGGGGAAUUGGCUGCACCGGAUGAGAAUGAUAAAUUCUAAUUGUUUCUUUGAUUUCAGUUUUAACAAAUAGUUUCCGGUUCCCGGAGGUGAACCUCCGUCACUCUAACCGAAGAUUUAGUGGUCGUGUAAUCCUUUCUCCGAUCUGACUAAUUAAUCACAGGUCGAUUGUUUGAUUGGUUGUACUCAAUUUCAUCAUGUAAUUAGUUUGAUUGAUGAUAUAUGUUUGUGUGAUCUCGAUUA